AGAGGAUUAAGAGGUUGCUGCAGAUAUUAAGGACUAAUGAGAAGGGGUUGUAGGCUGCACACUUGAGUGUGCUAAGGAAUAGGUGUAGAGAUAGGGAGAAUGGGAUUGGAGGGGUGGGCGGCUAGCAUAGGGAAAGAGAAGGGUGCUGCAGAUUUUUGCACACAUAUACAUAUUUCUUUUUAUCUACUUUUGAUGUAGUAGGGUAGUCUAGAGUAGGAGUAGGAAAGAUGAUGCUUGUAAAUGUAGAUGUGAUGGUAAUAAGUAAAAUUGUUCUAUCCAAAUCUGAAAUAAUGUAUCACUUGAUCAAUGAAAUACUAGUUCCGGG
rnacentral:lncRNA from 1 species